GUUUUUGUAAUUGAAUAACAACGGUGGUUUUUCAAAUCACCGGUCCUGGGUAAAAUCCCUGUAGGAACU
rnacentral:tRNA from 1 species